rnacentral:rRNA from 1 species
GAGUUUGAUCAUGGCUCAGAACGUACGCUGGCGGCACGCCUAAUACAUGCAAGUCGAACGAAGUAGCAAUACUUAGUGGCAGACGGGUGAGUAACAUGUAGGUAUCUUCCCUAUGGUGAGGAAUAACACGAGGAAACUUGUGCUAAUACCUCAUAAGUCUUUACGGAGAAAGCUUUAUGCGCCAUUGGAUGAGCCUGCACUUGAUUAGUUUGUUGGUAGGGUAAUGGCCUACCAAGACUAUGAUCAAUAGCUGAUUUGAGAGGAUGAUCAGCCACAUUGGGACUGAGACACGGCCCAAACUCCUACGGGAGGCAGCAGUAGGGAAUCUUGCACAAUGGGGGAAACCCUGAUGCAGCGAUGCCGCGUGAGUGAAGAAGGCCUUUGGGUUGUAAAGCUCUUUCGUCGGGGAAGAAAAUGACUGUACCCGAAUAAGAAGGUCCGGCUAACUUCGUGCCAGCAGCCGCGGUAAUACGAAGGGACCUAGCGUAGUUCGGAAUUACUGGGCUUAAAGAGUUCGUAGGCGGUUAAAAUAGUUGGUGGUGAAAUCCCAGAGCUUAACUCUGGAACUGCCAUCAAAACUUUUUAGCUAGAGUAUGAUAGAGGAAAGCAGAAUUUCUAGUGUAGAGGUGAAAUUCGUAGAUAUUAGAAAGAAUACCAAUUGCGAAGGCAGCUUUCUGGAUCAUUACUGACGCUGAGGAACGAAAGCAUGGGUAGCGAAGAGGAUU